UCGAGUUAUUCAACUCCCAAACCCUAUGUGAACUUACCACUUGUUGCUUCGGCGCGCGCUUCGGCGCCGCCGAGGACACUUAAACUCUUUGUUUUUAUAAGCAUUUCUGAGUGGCCGAAAGGCAAAAAUACAAAUGAAUCA
rnacentral:misc_RNA from 1 species